rnacentral:rRNA from 1 species
AUACGGAGGAUGCAAGCGUUAUCCGGAUUUAUUGGGUUUAAGGGUGCGUAGGCUGUUCGACAAGUCAGGGGUGAAAGCCCAGUGCCUAACACUGGAACUGCCUUUGAUACUGCCGAGCUGGAAUACGGAUGCCGUGGGAGGAAUGAGUAGUGUAGGGGUGAAAUGCAUAGAUAUUGCCCAGAACACCGAUUGCGAAGGCAUCUCACGAAUCCGAGACUGACGCUGAGGCACGAAAGCGUGGGGAUCAAACAGGAUUAGAUACCCUGGUAGUCCACGCAGUAAACGAUGAUAACUAACCGUCGGCGAUAGAAUGUCGGUGGCCAAGCGAAAGCGAUAAGUUAUCCACCUGGGGAGUACGUUCGCAAGAAUGAAACUUAAAGGAAUUGACGGGG